AGGUUUCGGCUAGCGAGGCGGCGCGAAGGGUUUGUGGGAAAUGUGAGGCGAGAGGCUUCGGCGGCGGGAGAAGGGGCUUCGUCCCACCGCCAUCUUUGCGGUGGGUUCUGCUGAAGCCGAACGAUCCUGCAUAUUGUGUUUUUUGUUGUUGUUGUUUUAAGCCCUGGGCUUUCCAGGCUGAACUUUCUCACUACCAUUACACUGAAAAAGAGCCCUUGAAAGUUUUGCUCGGAUCUUGCACAUUCUUUUGGAAGUCUUACUGUGGAAAUUGUCCGUGUUUUCAGCUUCCACAUCCCUUUCUCCUGGGAGAUUUCUUUUCCGUUUUUUUUACUUUGUCUCUUUUCUUUCCUCCGCAACUGCUUUGUUGUUGUUGUUGUUGUUUCUUGUAAACCACUUCUCAAAAGUGAACUAGUUGCCGUUUAAUAGAAGUUUGGAUGAACUGCCCCCAAAAUAAAGGAAAUCCGAACAGUCAUGGAAGUUGACUCCAAUUGGAGGGAUGGCUCUGAUCAAUUACUCUUUCCACAGGAAUUGAACAGCUUGGACUUGGAGACAGUGAGUUAAAACAGAAAUAAGAAGGCGGCAGAAAAAGACUACCAGAUUGAAAUGUGUUGGAUAUUCAUAUCCACCCAGCACCUCAGAAUGUGGCCAUGGAGGAUGGAGACAGAGAUUGGAGUGAUGCAUCUUCAAGCCUAGGAACACUAAGGAUUGCUGGUAAUCACCAGAAGCUGGAAGAGGCAAGAAAGUGUCCUUUCCUAGAGCCUUCAGAGAGAGCGCAGCCCUGCCAACACCUUGAUUAUAUGCUUCAAGCUUCUAGAAUUGUGAGAGAAUAAAUUUCUGUUGUUAUAAGCCACCUAGUUUGUGGUCUUUUGUUAUGGCAGCCCUGGGAAACUAAUAAACAUAAUAGUACUGGGAAGUGAGAUGCUGCUGUAGCAAAUACCUAAAAAUGUGGAAGUGGCUUUGGAACUGGGUAGUGGGUAGAGGCUGGGAGAAUUUUUAGGUGCAUGCCAGAAAAAGCCUGGGUUGCCUUGAAGAGACUGUUGGUAGAAAUACUGAAGUUUAAGGGGCUUCUAGUUAGGGCUCAGAAAGAAGGAAGGAGAGCUAUGGAGAGAGCUUCUAUUGUGUUAAGGCACAUAUAUAUAUUACCACUAAAAGAAUGUUUCUAGAAAUAUG
rnacentral:lncRNA from 10 species